rnacentral:rRNA from 1 species
UACGUAGGGUCCGAGCGUUGUCCGGAAUUAUUGGGCGUAAAGGGCUCGUAGGCGGUCUGUUGCGUCGGGAGUGAAAACUUACAGCUUAACUGUGAGCGUGCUUCCGAUACGGGCAGACUUGGCAUUCAGGGGAGAACGGAAUUCCUGGUGUAGCGGUGAAAUGCGCAGAUAUCAGGAGGAACACCGGUGGCGAAGGCGGUUCUCUGGGAAUGUCCUGACGCUGAGGAGCGAAAGUGUGGGGAGCGAACAGG